AUUGAACGCUGGCGGCAUGCUUUACACAUGCAAGUCGAACGGUAACAGGGAGCUUGCUCCGCUGACGAGUGGCGAACGGGUGAGUAAUGCGUCGGAACGUGCCGAGUAGUGGGGGAUAACGCAUCGAAAGGUGUGCUAAUACCGCAUACGUACUGAGGUAGAAAGUGGGGGGACCUUCGGGCCUCACGCUAUUCGAGCGGCCGACGUCUGAUUAGCUAGUUGGUGAGGUAAAGGCUCACCAAGGCGACGAUCAGUAGCGGGUCUGAGAGGAUGAUCCGCCACACUGGGACUGAGACACGGCCCAGACUCCUACGGAGGCAGCAGUGGGGAAUUUUGGACAAUGGGCGCAAGCCUGAUCCAGCCAUGCCGCGUGUCUGAAGAAGGCCUCGGUUGUAAGG
rnacentral:rRNA from 1 species